ACGAACGCUGGCGGCGUGCUUAACACAUGCAAGUCGAACGGAAAGGCCCUGCUUUUGUGGGGUGCUCGAGUGGCGAACGGGUGAGUAACACGUGAGUAACCUGCCCUUGACUUUGGGAUAACUUCAGGAAACUGGGGCUAAUACCGGAUAGGAGCUCCUGCUGCAUGGUGGGGGUUGGAAAGUUUCGGCGGUUGGGGAUGGACUCGCGGCUUAUCAGCUUGUUGGUGGGGUAGUGGCUUACCAAGGCUUUGACGGGUAGCCGGCCUGAGAGGGUGACCGGCCACAUUGGGACUGAGAUACGGCCCAGACUCCUACGGGAGGCAGCAGUGGGGAAUAUUGCACAAUGGGCGGAAGCCAGAUGCAGCAACGCCGCGUGCGGGAUGACGGCCUUCGGGUUGUAAACCGCUUUCGCCUGUGACGAAGCGUGAGUGACGGUAAUGGGUAAAGAAGCACCGGCUAACUACGUG
rnacentral:rRNA from 1 species